rnacentral:rRNA from 1 species
UACGGGGGGAGCAAGCGUUGUUCGGAUUUACUGGGCGUAAAGGGCGCGUAGGCGGCCAGCGCAAGUCAGUUGUGAAAUCUCCGGGCUUAACUCGGAAAGGUCAACUGAUACUGCGCGGCUAGAGUGCGGAAGGGGCAACUGGAAUUCUCGGUGUAGCGGUGAAAUGCGUAGAUAUCGAGAGGAACACCAGUGGCGAAAGCGGCCACCUGGACUGCACCUGGCGCUGAAACGCGAAAGCUAGGGGAGCGAACGGG